GGUGAAAGAAGACAAGACAAGAGCUCCUCAACCGAUUUCUGUGGCCGAUAUUCAAUUUUCAAUUCAUCCAUUGAAACCCUCCUCAAUUCCCAAAUUAAUUCUCCCCGAUGAUGUCCAUGUCCAUGUCCAUGUCCAUGGCGGUUUUCUCCCCAAAAUCGCCGUGCCUCCCCCGCGCGCCUCCCUCACAAACCAAUUUCACUUUCAGGCCUCAAUCCCUCCCUAGAUUGCCCGCCAAAACACUUCACUUCCACUUACUGGUGGCCGCCGAUAAUGCCUCCGUGGUCUCCUCCGAUACGGUCACUCCCGAGGACUCCGCCGGCUCAAAUGGCUCUCCUUCCUCGCCGUCUCAGCCGCCCUUCGCGGCGGAGGCGACGGCUGGCAGCUUUCAGGACCCUAGGUGGGUUGGGGGAACGUGGGAUCUGAAACAGUUCGACAAGGAUGGGAAGACCGACUGGGAUGCCGUCAUUGAUGCUGAAGUAAAACGGAGGAAAUGGAUGGAAGAAAACCCGCAAUCGUCGAGCAACGAAAGCCCUAUCGUUUUCGAUACUUCCAUUAUUCCAUGGUGGGCGUGGAUGAAGAGAUUUCACCUUCCUGAAGCCGAACUCCUCAAUGGCCGUGCUGCGAUGGUAGGAUUCUUUAUGGCGUAUUUUGUCGACAGUUUGACGGGCGUAGGCCUCGUCGAUCAGAUGAACAACUUCAUAUGCAAAACAUUGCUGUUUGUCGUCGUAGCGGGUACCCUUCUGAUACGAAAGAACGAGGAUAUAGAGACCCUCAAGAAAUUACUUGACGAGACAACAUUCUACGAUAAGCAGUGGCAAGCGACCUGGCAGGACGAAUCCCCGAGCAGUAGUGGUUCGGGAUCAAAAGAUUGAAGAAAAUUGGGAAAUAAUUAUGCAGGCCUCUGAAAUGGACAAUGAACCUCCGGAGGAUCUAAUAAACGAGGAAACAUUCGGUUUGAGAAAGGAUAAAAUUGUUGGUCAAAUUUGGGCAGAAUCAGAAUGUCCAAAGCAACAUUACAUACGACAAUCUUCUUGAUUGGGAAGCCUCUUUUCCUUCCUUUGCAUUGAAACUCAUAUUUAUUACAACGUUGAAGAAGCUUUCUUUUUUGCAAGAAACGAAGACAACAACCAUCCCUUCGAUCUAUCCAACUGUUGAUUCUUGUCUUCAUCGAAUUUCCGUAGAAUCGGAUCGCAACAGCCUUCGCUCGCGACCAUCAUGACAAGUCGUUGCUGCCGGGGAAAGGCUGUGUCGGUGGCGAUAUAUUCCGAGAGGCCGAGAAACAGCCUCAUCUCAACCAAGGAUCAACGAAACAACAUCCACCACCACCACUACCACCACCACCACCACCACCAUCAGUACUACGAUUACCAUACCUUCCAUCGAAAAAA